rnacentral:rRNA from 1 species
UACGUAGGGUGCGAGCGUUGUCCGGAAUUAUUGGGCGUAAAGAGCUCGUAGGCGGUUUGUCGCGUCGGCCGUGAAAACUUGGGGCUUAACCCCAAGCCUGCGGUCGAUACGGGCAGACUUGAGUUCGGCAGGGGAGACUGGAAUUCCUGGUGUAGCGGUGAAAUGCGCAGAUAUCAGGAGGAACACCGGUGGCGAAGGCGGGUCUCUGGGCCGAUACUGACGCUGAGGAGCGAAAGCUAGGGGAGCGAACAGG